AGCAGAGUGGCGCAGUGGAAGCGUGCUGGGCCCAUAACCCGGAGGUCCGUGGAUCGAGACCACGCUCUGCUA
rfam:Trichobilharzia regenti genome assembly, scaffold: TRE_scaffold0025056